GUGACCAUUUGAUAGAUAGCAUAUAUCAAAAUUCAGAGUAAGAAAUUAUUUGGAUGAUUUGGUUGCUUUACAGCUUGAAGAAAGUUGCUGAGUGUAAGGAAUGGCAGUGAAGAAUAAGAACAGUUUUAGAUUGAAUAGACUGUUUGAUUGAAUUAGGUUUCAUGUGGUGGACUGGCUAAAAUCUUUAGAGCUCUUGUUGGUUCCAAACACGUGUUUAUGCUAUAUUCCUGCCUCCUGAGUAUUUUUGGUCAGUGACUCUUUGAAUAAAUUCUGUCCUUGAAUGCCAUUGACAUUUAUGUUGUUGUUAAGGUGCUGAAAGUGUAUGAAAUUCUCUUUGAUUUGGCUUGGUCUUCAAAAUUUUUCAAGUUGUGAUUGCAAUAUUUUCUAAACCUCAGAACAGCUUCAAAUGUUGUAUUAAAGUGAGGCAAUUGUUUACCUUAGUUUGUUUGGAGCUUGUUUAAUUGAAAUAUUACUCAAGUUGAGUAAUGUAUAGAAAUUAUGUUUUGGGAGGGUAGGUAUUUUAUAAAUGCAAUUAUCCACACUUUUAUAAAAUGCAGUAGAACUCUGCUAACUCAAACACUGUAAACUCAAACCUGCAGUAACUUUAACAAGAUUGGUUUGCCUUGGAUUUGAACCCCUUUCUCCUGGAAUUUACUACCAGGUAGCUUGAACUCAGUUAACUCAAACUUCCCAUUAACUUGAAGUAAUGUUACUUUCCCUAGGCUCAAAUUUACCCAACAAAGGUGAAAUGAAAGUGAAAAUGUUGGUUGAUAAAGUACAUUUUGCUAAACUUCGCACACUAGAACCUUUCAUAAAAUGGCUAUUACAAAAGUAAAUGUAGAUAAUAGACUGGUGAAGAGAUGAUUCGUUAUGAAUUAAAAACAGGUUAAUUAAAAUUCACCAGCAAUGUUGAUAACUGAAAUCCCUGGGAGUUUGAGUUAAGGGGUUUUACUGUCACUGUCAUGUACAGAUCAGAGUUCUAUGGGAGUGUUAGCUGUUGAACCCUUCAUAAAUGGAUGAGUUGCUACUUGAUGCUGUUGGAAGGUUGAUGAGAUAGAAAGAGCCAUAAAAUCUUCCAGAUGUACUUGUUAUCCAAAAAUUGGAAAGUAAAUAAAUGUUUUCAUUCAACCUUUUC